GACGUAUCACAAGUGCGAAUGCUGACAUAAGUAACGAUAAAACGGGUGAAAAACCCGUUCGCCGGAAGACCAAGGGUUCCUGUCCAACGUUAAUCGGGGCAGGGUGAGUCGGCUCCUAAGGCGAGGCUGAAAAGCGUAGUCGAUGGGAAACAGGUUAAUAUUCCUGUACUUGGUAAAGCUGCGAUGUGGGGACGGAGUAGGUUAGGUUAUCGCACUGUUGGAUAUGUGCGUUUAAGUUGGUAGGUGGGAAGUUUAGGCAAAUCCGGACUUCCUUAACACAGAGAGAUGAUGACGAGGCUCUACGGAGCUGAAGUAACUGAUACCACACUUCCAGGAAAAGCCACUAAGCGAAAGGCUUUACUAAACCGUACUGAAAACCGACACAGGUGGUCAGGUAGAGAAUACUCAGGCGCUUGAGAGAACUCGGGUGAAGGAACUAGGCAAAAUAGCACCGUAACUUCGGGAGAAGGUGCGCUUACAGUAAUUGUAGUCCCUUACGGAUGAAGGUGAAGUAAGUCGAAGUGACCCGCUGGCUGCAACUGUUUAUUAAAAACACAGCACUCUGCAAACACGAAAGUGGACGUAUAGGGUGUGAUGCCUGCCCGGUGCUGGAAGGUUAAUUGAUGGUGUAAUCGCAAGAGAAGCACCUGAUCGAAGCCCCAGUAAACGGCGGCCGUAACUAUAACGGUCCUAAGGUAGCGAAAUUCCUUGUCGGGUAAGUUCCGACCUGCACGAAUGGCAUAAUGAUGGCCAGGCUGUCUCCACCCGAGACUCAGUGAAAUUGAAAUCGCCGUGAAGAUGCGGUGUACCCGCGGCUAGACGGAAAGACCCCGUGAACCUUUACUAUAGCUUGACACUGAACAUUGAAUUUUGAUGUGUAGGAUAGGUGGGAGCCUUUGAAGCAGUGACGCCAGUCAUUGUGGAGGCGAGCUUGAAAUACCACCCUUUAACGUUUGAUGUUCUAACGAAGAUGACGAAACGUGGUCUCGGACAGUGUCUGGUGGGUAGUUUGACUGGGGCGGUCUCCUCCCAAAGCGUAACGGAGGAGCACGAAGGUUUGCUAAUCACGGUCGGACAUCGUGAGGUUAGUGCAAUGGUAUAAGCAAGCUUAACUGCGAGA
rnacentral:rRNA from 1 species